rnacentral:rRNA from 1 species
CGCGGCCUAUCAGCUUGUUGGUGGGGUAAUGGCUCACCAAGGCGACGACGGGUAGCCGGCCUGAGAGGGUGACCGGCCACACUGGGACUGAGACACGGCCCAGACUCCUACGGGAGGCAGCAGUGGGGAAUAUUGCACAAUGGGCGGAAGCCUGAUGCAGCGACGCCGCGUGAGGGAUGACGGCCUUCGGGUUGUAAACCUCUUUCAGUAGGGAAGAAGCGAGAGUGACGGUACCUGCAGAAGAAGCGCCGGCUAACUACGUGCCAGCAGCCGCGGUAAUACGUAGGGCGCAAGCGUUGUCCGGAAUUAUUGGGCGUAAAGAGCUCGUAGGCGGUUUGUCGCGUCUGCUGUGAAAGCCCGGGGCUCAACCCCGGGUCUGCAGUGGGUACGGGCAGACUAGAGUGCGGUAGGGGAGACUGGAAUUCCUGGUGUAGCGGUGAAAUGCGCAGAUAUCAGGAGGAACACCGAUGGCGAAGGCAGGUCUCUGGGCUGUUACUGACGCUGAGGAGCGAAAGCAUGGGGAGCGAACAGGAUUAGAUACCCUGGUAGUCCAUGCCGUAAACGUUGGGCACUAGGUGUGGGGGACAUUCCACGUUUUCCGCGCCGUAGCUAACGCAUUAAGUGCCCCGCCUGGGGAGUACGG